rnacentral:rRNA from 1 species
UGCCAGCAGCCGCGGUAAUACGGAGGGGGCAAGCGUUGUUCGGAAUGACUGGGCGUAAAGGGCGCGUAGGCGGAUUGGCAAGUUGGGGGUGAAAGGCCUGGGCUCAACCUGGGAAUUGCCUCCAAAACUGCCUGUCUAGAGAUCGGAAGAGGAUGGCGGAAUUCCCAGUGUAGAGGUGAAAUUCGUAGAUAUUGGGAAGAACACCAGUGGCGAAGGCGGCCAUCUGGUCCGACACUGACGCUGAGGCGCGAAAGCGUGGGGAGCAAACAGGAUUAGAUA